UGGAAGGGGUGUAUUUAUUAGAUUAAAAACCAAUGCCCUUCGGGGCUCUCUGGUGAUUCAUAAUAACUUCUCGAAUCGCACGGCCUUGCGCCAGCGAUGGUUCAUUCAAAUUUCUGCCCUAUCAACUUUCGACGGCUGGGUCUUGGCCAGCCAUGGUGACAACGGGUAACGGAGGGUUAGGGCUCGACCCCGGAGAAGGAGCCUGAGAAACGGCUACUACAUCCAAGGAAGGCAGCAGGCGCGCAAAUUACCCAAUCCCGACACGGGGAGGUAGUGACAAUAAAUACUGAUACAGGGCUCUUUCGGGUCUUGUAAUUGGAAUGAGUACAAUUUAAAUCCCUUAACGAGGAACAAUUGGAGGGCAAGUCUGGUGCCAGCAGCCGCGGUAAUUCCAGCUCCAAUAGCGUAUAUUAAAGUUGUUGAGGUUAAAAAGCUCGUAGUUGAACCUUGGGCCUAGCCGGCCGGUCCGCCUCACCGCGUGCACUGGCUCGGCUGGGCCUUUCCUUCUGGAGAACCGCAUGCCCUUCACUGGGUGUGCCGGGGAACCAGGACUUUUAC
rnacentral:rRNA from 1 species